rnacentral:tRNA from 1 species
GCUCACGUAGCUCAGUUGGAUAGAGCGGCGGUUUCCUAAACCGCAGGCCACAGGUUCGAUCCCUGUCGUGGGUA